rnacentral:rRNA from 1 species
GAUGAACGCUGGCGGCGUGCUUAACACAUGCAAGUCGAACGGAAAGGCCCUGCUUGCAGGGUACUCGAGUGGCGAACGGGUGAGUAACACGUGGGUGAUCUGCCCUGCACUUCGGGAUAAGCCUGGGAAACUGGGUCUAAUACCGGAUAGGAGCCAUUUUUAGUGUGAUGGUUGGAAAGUUUUUUCGGUGUAGGAUGAGCUCGCGGCCUAUCAGCUUGUUGGUGGGGUAAUGGCCUACCAAGGCGGCGACGGGUAGCCGGCCUGAGAGGGUGGACGGCCACAUUGGGACUGAGAUACGGCCCAGACUCCUACGGGAGGCAGCAGUGGGGAAUAUUGCACAAUGGGCGCAAGCCUGAUGCAGCGGCGCCGCGUGGGGGAUGACGGACUUCGGGUUGUAAACUCCUUUCGCUAGGGACGAAGCUUUUUGUGACGGUACCUAGAUAAGAAGCACCGGCUAACUACGUG